CUGAGAACCUCUCAGUCACAUCUCCCCUUUUGUGUCCUGCUUGUGUCUCCUUUCCCAGUGGCAAGCCCUGGAGGACGCUGCAGGUGACGGACACUUCACUAAGCUCCCCAGGUACAUUUGUGUGGCUUCCACCAAGGCAUAGCCAGUGACACUCACUUUUCAACUUGCCAGUUCUUUCCCAGAGUUGUGACUUCCUCUGAAGAUGUGAGCUCUGUCUGCUUGCCAAUCUCAGCCAGCCUAUAUCUUGGCAUAGGGUUUCGUCCUUGCCCCUCUAGCCCAUUGGUUUGAUAUAACCAGCCUCAGUCCACCUGUACUCCGAGGGAAGGCUUCCAGCUUACCAGGCCUGCCUGCCAGCUCAUGUCAGCUUAAGGGGAACCCAGGGAGGGAUGCCUGGGGAAGUCUUGGGAAAUCCAGUGAGCUUUCUGCAAUCUGUGGUCUUCAAAUACACCUUCCCCAGUGAGGCAUGAAUCCCAGCAUGGCGGGAAGUGCCUUCCAAGUUUGUUUCAUACUUGGAUAUUCCUCUCAGUCCUAAGGCAUUUUUUUUGGUGUUCUGUCCUAUCUUUUCUCAGUAUUUAAUCCCCUGUAUAUAGUUAAUAAUGUUUAUAUUAAAACUUUUCUCUUUUAAUUACUGUGUAGCUUCAAUUCCUGACUACCCCAAUUCACGCAUUCCCUAUAAUGUAAAAAUUUUUAGUAUCUUUCAGGUUAAAAUAAUAGCUACGGUUAUUACAAAGAUAAUUCGAAGAGAAAAAUAAUGCUUGUCUACUGUCUGCAUGAUCUGUGACAUAUUAUGUUCAUAUUAGGGAUCCUGAAUCAUUUAAGAGCAAAAAUAAAUUAGACAAUAGGAUACAUAAUAACUUUUUGAAGGAUUUAACUACAAAACACUAUAAAUAAUCACUGCAAGUAACACUUCAUGUCUUGGGGAAAUUCACUUAUGUAAAGCAUCUCAAUCAUUCAGUGUCAGGUCUAUAACUAUAAAUUUUAUCAAAUGUCAAUACUUCUACCUAUGUACUGGGUUAAAUUCUUUCUUGCCUACUCAUUUCAUUCAUUCAGCAUUUUUUUAUUCUUAUCUCUUAUUGUUAUUCCUCUGUCCUUAGUAGAUUAUUUCCGUUGACAAUCUCACGUGCAGUAAUAUACCCUAUCUUACCAAAUAUUUAAGUUAGUUGUAAAAGCUGUUCUUGGGCUCCACGUGUUUCUCUGUUCCUCACUCAAUUUCUUUGCUCUCCAUUAAAAAAAAAAAUCUGUAAAAUAGUGUCAAUAGUCAUGGCCUGAAUCUCCACUUAUCCCCACCUCUUCUCUCUUAUAUUUACACCUGUGGGACUCUCAUUUCUCACUUACCCCUCCCUAGGUUGUCAGCACUCUCCACGUUGCCAGAGGUAAAGGACAAUUCUCAGAGUUCUUCAUGGUAACCUUUUAAGUGUCCUUCACACAGUUCAUACUCCCUCCUUUUUGAAAUGCUUUAUUUUUGGCCUGCAGAAUACAAUAUUAAAAAUGUAUAAUUUUUUUCCUUCCCCACUCUCCACUCCUACUCAGCCUACUAACAGAAAUCUUCACCAACCAUUACAUGUUGGGAUACCCAAGAUUUAGAUGUGGGGCUUCUGUUCUCUUCUCCAUUUACUCACAGGGUAAAUACACUUUGUUCUAUGACAUCUAAGCAUUCUUAUAUUUUUGUUUUUAGUCUUGAACUCUCCUAGGAACUUCAGUCUCAUAUUACUCUCUUCUUAAACAUGUCUACUUGGAGGGUCCCCGUGGAGGUCUAAAGGUAUCUAUUCAUGCAUCUGGAGGGAUCACAUCUGAUAUCAACACAGUGGGAAAGAAUAAACUAAGCCAGGAAGCAUUUAUGAUCCUUUGGAUUGUCUUCUCUUUCAUGAA
rnacentral:lncRNA from 1 species